GCCCUCGUGGCUUAGUGGUGAGCACACUAGGCCGGCAAACCUGAAGUGGAGGUUCGUGUCCUGCCUAGGGUG